rnacentral:lncRNA from 1 species
UAAUAUUUUGCCUUUGUGCUUUGAUUAAUCAGUCACCACAACUGCUUCUCACUUCUAUUUGAAUUAUAUCCCUACUGCUUGGUCCAGCUGUAAUACCACAUCCACAAAGUCUACAGUGGAUUUUAUUAAUCCUGUAUUGCAAUGCAUCCUAUCAAUUCAAAAUUCCUAAAACGUAUGUAUUGAUCUUAGCUAUUAUUUCAACUUACAAUAUAAACUCCUCACAGGUACAAAAAGUCAAAUAUAUAAGAAUGAAUGCUUAGAAAUUGUUUAAAAAUUAAAUAUGUGAAGUAAUGAAAAUAUAACCAUCUUCAAAUUUUCUCAAGUGUGAAAUACAUAAGCUGUCAAUACUACCUUUCAUUGCUAGUAUAAAUCAGUUGUUACCCUACUAAAAUUCUUAAAGUGUUUAAAAUAGGAAACUAUUUUAAGAUAUUUUUUUUUUUUUUUUUUUUUUUAAGAUAUUUUUUAAAAGGUUAAUAAAAAGCAUACUGAAACUGUGAAACCACAACACAGCACAGGAUAUGAGCAUAAAGUUUUCCAUUUCUGUGUCUUACCAAUUGCCUCAAAAUAAUGAAUUUAUUUUAUAUAAGUCAUAAAUCUAAGUAAUCCUAGAGAAGUGGUUGUUCACCUUUUGGAUAAACAUUCUUUUAAAAAGCUUUGAGAAAAAAAAAAAAAAAAUAAAUAAAUAAAAAGCUUUGAGAAUUUGGUAUUAAUACUGUAUUUCUAUCUCAUAUCUUUAACAUCUAUGAUAAUUUGACAUAUAGAAAUUUUUAUUCAUGUAUUUUGAUAAAUCUGCAUUUUGUAUUUAAAUACAAGAAGUGGGAGGUACAGGCUUCCAGUUAUGGAAUGAAUUAAGUCAUUGAGGAUGAAAGGGAAUAGCGUUGUACAGUGACAGAUAGUCACUCCACUUGUGAGCAUAGCAUAAUACAGAGUUAUCAAAACAUUAUGUUGUACAUCUGAAAGUAAUGUAAUAUUGUGUCAACUACAUGUCAGUAAUACAAAUGAAAAUAAUGUAAAAAUAUUGUACAGUUCUCACAAGAAGAAAGGAAAAGAAGCAAAAGUACUUUUGAAAAAAAUCAAUCUAUAAUAAUGGCUUUUUAAUUUUUAUUUAUUUAUCAUAGUCACACAGGGAGAGAGAGAGAGGGGCAGAGACACAGG